UUUAUUUUUAGUAUUUUAAAAUUUAAUUGGAAUAUUUUAACCUUAAUAUGAUCUAAUCUUUCUAUAUUAUUGAAAAUAAUAUACUAUUAUCACUAAUCGGUUCGGUUUUUUCGAUUUUUUUCUGAUCAAAAUCGAACUGAACCGAAAUAACUAAAAUUUUUGAAAUUAAAAACCGAAUCAAACUGAAAUGAAUAAAAAACCAAACUAAAUUUUCAAAUUAAUUCAGUUCGGUAGAUUUUUUUUGUUUGAACUGAAUACUACUCACCCUAGUAAAUACCUUUGACUCAUUUCUAUUACCUGAAACAUACAACAAUUUUCCUUCUAUUGUACAAGCACUGGAACUCGAAUUGAAAAUACUUCCAGCUCAUUCGAAAUAUGCAUUUUUGAGGAGUAAUAACACACUUCCGGUCAUAAUCUCCUCCAAGUUGAAUUCUUUAGAAGUAAAUAAUUGAUUUGGAUGUUGAAUGAAUACAAAGGUGAAAGUAGAUGAAGUUUAAUAUGCCACUAAAUGUCUAACCUAGGACAGUAAAGGAAGGCGCUGCUUGGGAGGCAACCCAAGGUGAUAGGCUUACCAAAGCCUGUAUGUUGUCAAAUGUUUUACUUUCUUUUCAAAUUUUUUAUUUCAUCUAUUGUCUUCAAAAGCGAAGCUGAUUAUAUUUUUCUGGAUAGGUCUAAACUUUACGGAGAUCAUACAAGGCUCUCAUGGUUAUUUGAGAUUUACAUGGUUAAAUUAUUUAGUUUACUUUAUAAUUGCUCCUUAUAAGGUAAUUUUCUUUGAGAAUUUUAAAUGCUUUUAUUAUUUUUACUAUUUUAUUUUUACCUCUUAGAAUUACAACCUAACUCACCCUCCUAUUUGCUUCUUUUUCCCUCUCAUGCCAGCGACCUCUCCCCCUCUCUCUCCCUCUCAACUCCCCCCUCUUUUACAGACUAGCGAUGGUAAAGAAAAAGUCAAUUGCUGACUAGUCAGAGACUCCUCUGAUCACCACGCCCACAUCUAAGCAACGCCGACAAGACCCAUCAGACCACACUCGUGGCGAGACCACGAUAACGCUAUUGCCACCAAAAUAGACAGCUAAGAAGGAAAAAGUAAUGCCGGCCAUCGCAUCGUGACCAGAAGCUAUUGCACCAACAAUGGUGCCUUCUCCGAUUACAACAAGGCGAGCUACCUGUCCACAAGCAAAAUAUAAAGCUCUGAUGCCCAACAUGCAAGCUGAACCAGAAGAGGAAUGGGAAGUAAAGCCAAAGGUUCUGGAGAAAUUGAAGAAAAGGAAAAGCAACAAAGACUACCACUCUGAUUUUGGAGUCUUUCACUGGGAGCAGCAGUAAGGAUACAGCUUCAGACCAUAGUGGCAAAGAAAUAACGACCUCAGCAUAGGAUGCCGAUGACAGUAGCAGUAGCGAGGAGGUAUAACAUGUGUCCAUCCUAUGUUGAGUUGUGCAGAGAGUUUUACACUACUUCUAAAUUCUCAUAUGAUAUUCAAGAUUUCAAAUUAAAUAUACCCCUUGUUCGCUUUAGGUUAAGAGAUAAAUUGGUACAUUGCUCUAUUACCAAUUUCAAUCAUCAUUUAGGUGUCUAUGAUCAUGAAUAUGUAAAAAAAAGAUAUGCAUACUUGGAUUAUUUAUGUGAUUAUCCAGCAGAUUGGGAUCCAAAUAUGGUUUAUAAAGGGUUAAUAGGGAAUCCUAUAUUUGAAUUUAAGGGUGGUAAGUCCAAAGCAAACGAAAUUCAAAGUCCUGCCCUUAGAUACAUCCAUAAGUUCCUCUAUUAUACUUUUUCUGAUAAAAAUAAAGAUCCCACUAAACUAACUAAGUAUAAAUUAUUCUUUCUUUGGUGUAUGUUGCAUAAACACCAAGUCAAUUUUGGAUUUUAGUUAGCCUCCCAAUUCAAGACUAUUUCUGACAACAGACGUGGCAUUUAUUUAGGUUUUGUAAUUUUUAUGUUGGUUGUUAGUAUGGGUUUACUUGAUGCACAGAAUACUGAUUUACACAUUGUUGAGCACAUUCUUCCUUUAGAUAUUCAUGCACUUAAUUCUAUAGACUUACUUUGCCUCAAAGUGAGAAAAAAAAUUGUGUUUUGUCCUUCAAAUCCUAUCAUUCCUACUCGAUCACGCUUAUUUUAGAUAGAAGAAAAACCAGGCCCAUCUACCUCAGCUCUUGUAGAAUCUGAUGACAGUGCCCAACUAGCCGGUAUUGAAGCCAAAUUCUCGCAUAUUGAUGCCAAACUGGAUGUGAUACUCUCCCAUUUAGAAUUGCCUAUAUCCUAACUACUAGCAGCCUGAAGAUAUAGUACCAAUUUGCUUCUCAGGAAAGUUUUCUACACCCUCCAUUUCAUUUUUAUUUAUGCUUUGUGUCAUUGAACUUCUCUCGUUGCUUGCAUUUUGUUGCACGUUGAGAACAAUAUGAGGAGUAAGUGUGGGAGGGGGAGUAUUGAAGUGUUAUCAUUUUCUUUUGUGAUUUUUAUGAUGACUGUUGUACAUAUUCUUUUAUUUUUAUAUUCUCCUAAUUCAAUAAAAUAUUUUUUCCCAUCAUAAAAUAAAAGAUUAUUCAAUGUUUCUUCUUAAGCCGGUCAAACAUCUUAUCUAAGUAACUGACAACGGUUAUAUGUACAAUAAUUAUAUAUUGACCAUUAAUUAGUGUGGGACCUACAUGAAGUCUAUCAUAAUCAAAUGGUUUUAAUAAAAUCUUUGAACAUAUAAGGGUCGUAUGAUCAAAAUUUUCAAUUACCAAAUUCAUUCUGAAUAUACACCACAGAGGAAGAAAGGGAGAGAGAAUUUAAUUGGUGUAAUGUCUUGUUUGAAAUGGCUCUCUUAUUAUAUGAAUAUAAGACAGUAGAGAUUCUUGUUCAAUCUCUUAUGAUAAAAUCUCACAUCUUCUAAAGAGUUGUGUUGAGGCAUCAUCAGGUUCAGGGAAGUUAGGUACCAAAAAGGAUUGAGUGAAGCCAGAUACAACGUUUGACUGAUUGCAACCUGUCCUUGGCUCCAUUCCUGCUGCCCAAAAUAUCACUGAAAGAGCAACUGCAUUCAUCUGCAAAACGGUUACCACCAAACAUAAUUUUUUUCUUCUUUUCCUGAGUAGAAAAAAAAAAGUAAAUAAAAAACAUCUUUAAAAUGUUCAUUAAAAUCAAUUUAAACGAUGCUUAAGGUAUAAUUUGACAUGUUGGUUAUAAAUCUUCAUAUUAAUUCUUGGAAGAAUGAAAAGAAUUAACUUUUAACCUCAAUGUUGAACUAACACAUAUAUUCUAAGUUAAAAUCAUCCGGUAAUUCACAGUAUCUAAUACAAAAACAUGAGUCAUAACCAAUAAAAUUGCUCUAUAUUGAGAGCAAUUUAGACUUUUCGCGACACUUAAUAGUUAAAAUUAACGAAAGGAUUAAUUAAUAUAUUUUUUAAAACGUUAGGAAUAUUUUAUUAUAUUUUUUAAAAUUAUUUAUAAUAUAAGGAUUAAAUAAUAAAUUUAUUAAAUAAUUAUAACAAAAGGGUGAUUCAGUGUGAGAAGCAAAAGGAAGUCUAGAAUUUUUUUUUUUCUAGCAAAAUCCUGCAAGCCAUGACUCCUUCAUGCAUUGUUACUGACGAAUUUAGGCAAACUACAACAGUUUGGUAUAUCUAUGAUUUUUCAUCUUAUAAAGUUCAAGAUUAAAUAACCUGUGCUGCUGAAAUCAACAAAACGAUCAGGCGACUAAUCUUCAAAUGGAAUGUCAGAAAACUCUCUAUCUUUUUAUGGCACUCAUCAAUAAUUGAAGCAAUUUGCUGUUACAGAAGAUAAAACAGAGAAGCAAUGGUAAAAAAUUGAGAGUACAUUGAAAAGUAAUUUCACAAAAUAAGCAAAAUACACUGACCACCUGGGAACCUUUACGUAUAAAGAUGGGUUCAUAAUAAUAAAAAUUUUCCAUCCAGAGUAGUUGAUUAGGGAUGAUCAAGCAGAUUACUUGUGUAAAGGAAAACUUUUGAUAAUGAUUUUUAUUGCUAAAAGAAUCUCAAAUUACAAUGGUUCAAUUUUGAACCAAAAUCGAAAAAUCAAACAAUCAAAUUAUAUAUUUUAAAUUAAUUUAUAAUCUAGCUCCGGAAAUUUAGUAAAAUCCAUAAUUUAAUCUCCAUUAGUUCAAUAAUAAAUAAUUUAAUUUCUAAAAUUUUAUUUUAUUAAUAAAAUAAUCCUUUUGUAUAUCCAUCGUUAAACUAUAACAAUUUAGUCUUUUAGAUUUUAACUUUUUAUAAUAGUUUAAUCAUUUUAAUUUUAAUAAUUUAUAAUAACUUAAUUUUUAUAAUUUUAUUAUUUAUAAUAAUUUAGUCAAUUUAAUUUUAAUUGACUUCUUCGAUUAAUAAUUAUCUGUAGGUAAAAUUAAUCCAAGGAAUAUUUUGUUGAUAAAAUAAAAAACUCAAAUACUAAGAUGGGAGUAAAUUAUGAGUUUUGCAAAAAAUUCAAGAAUUGUACUGUAAGUUAUCCUAUAUUUUAAACAACCAAACCAAAUCAAUUGGAGACAAAUAUCCAUGCGUUGACCAAUGUCAAGGAAGCAUACCGCUACCACAUCCAUCUUGAAGAAAAUUAUGACAAUAACAGCCACUUCAAGGAAAAGAAGGCAGCAGGCUAUGAAAAUAUACUGGAAAAUAAAACACUAGGUCAAGGAAUAUUUCACUUGGUGAAUGAUCAAAUGAUAAAACAAGAACGUAUAAAUUCCAAAUAAUAUAGAUUCCAUUUACGCAUUUCGUUUUAUGUAUUUAGUUGAGAAAAUAAGUAAAAGCAAGUUCCUUUUUUAGCACACAAAAAAGAAAAAAAUAAAUUUUAUCGUAAAUUAUAAGACGAGCUGACAUGAGAUAGUAUUACUCUCUUCUCACUUAUUUAUUACUCUCGAGUCAAAUUUUUAUAUAGUACUUUUAAAAUUUAAUAGAAAGCGCUUUGUCAUACUUAAUCAGUUUGCAAUUCAUUGAGUUUCAAAUACCGAAAGAUUUAGACUAAAAAAUUAUAGAAUUUAUAAAGUAGUAUUUUGUUUUGCAUUUUUUAUAGCGGAUAAUUUUAGAGAUAUAUGAAAUAAUAUUAAGAAAGGAUACAGCACAGAUAGUGUAAUUGCUGAUAGAAUUAAAUGCAAUGUAAUAACAUAGGGUGCUCAAGAAGACAACAAUUCCCACCCCUAGACAUGUAUAUAUAAACCUGUAAAAUAGAAGAAAUAACAUAUUAUGAUAUUAACAUUUCAGACAAGAAAGAAAAAAAAAAUCUUUAAUUUCAAGUGAGGAGUAUACGUAUGGGUUAAAGACAGAAUGAUUAAAAAAAAGGGUGUGUUGAGUAAGAGUAGAUGGAAAAUUUACCAAGGAAAAGGCGGAGGUGAGGUGGGAUGUAGCUGAGAAAAAAAUUGAUGCCACUUCUUGUCCAGCCAAAGAGAGUAGAUGAUUAUUGCAAUCCCAAAGAAGAGCAUUAUCAAGUUAACUAACUUGAUUGAAUAGUACAAGCAACAUCUUGGACAUUCUAUUAUCAUAGCUAAUUUUUCUUUAACCUCUAUGUGUUGAGCCAUGGAAGUCCAUGUUACUUGUGCCUAUAAAAAUACGCUCCUUCCAAGCUUACCCUUCAUUUGAAAUGAAGUGCCAGUGUGCUUUACUGCCUUAGCAUGGGGGCACAAUAGGGAUUUGCAUGAGAGGUGGGUAGGGCUGUGUCACUGAUAGAGAGAGAGAGAGAGACAGACAGACCAAUUGCAUGGCGUUGAAUGACAGAUGCUAAAGACAUGGAGGUAACCCCCAUAGCCUAAGACCACCUAACAUUCAAAGCUCAAACUCAAUUAUUAAUAUGAAUAUACAACAAUAAUUUAUAAUAUAUAUAUAUAAUAAAUAAUAAAGUAUAUAAAUAUAAUUAAAAAAUUAAUAUAAAUAAUCAAAUAUAUAAAUAUAAUUAAAAAAAUUAAUAUUAAUUUUUCAUAAAUAAAUAAAUAUUUAUAUAUAUAUUAGUAAUAUCCAUAUUAAUAUUCCAAGAAAACUUAUCUGAAUUCACCUCAAAUGAAUUCAAGGCAGUAGAUUUUUUAUGAAAAAAUCAGAAGUGCAAUAAGAUAGAUGAUAGUUCACCAGUAUCUAGAUCAAAUUUUUAAUAAGACUCUGUUGAAUCUAUCACGAUCGUGGAAAUGAAUAAUAUACUCUUUAUAUAAGCUAUAAACACCUUUCUUCCUUGAACUAUGGGUAAGUUAGAUCUAUCCUAAAUUUAAUAUAUCAUAGCCUUUCCAUCCCAUAUUGAACUUUUAUAAAAGGAUGAUGAAUCUCACGUCGGCUGUCAAAAUAGAUAAUAAUGUGCUCAUUAUAUGAGCCACUCUUGCUCCUGGAGUGAAUUAGGUAGUAAAAAUGGGGAUUUUGAUGAUGAAUUAAAGGUCAAAACAAUUUAAGGAAGCAAUAAUCAAAAAAGAAAUAAAUCAAUGUAAAAAAAUUUUGGUUAAAGUGUAGAAUCCAUUUCAAUUUGAAAAUUAAUCACUAAAACAAAUAUACUUUUAUUCGUUCCAAUAAAUUAGUUAUAAUUAUAGAAGACGGUCUAUAUAACCAAUAUUUCCUUAGAUUUAAAUUAAUUAGAAAGCGUUCGCUAAUUAACCCUAGCCAACAAAUCGCCCAAAGAACGUCUUUAGGUUUUAUUCAUAAACUUCCUUAAAAAUUAGAGAGACCUAAUUUUAACUAACAAACCAAACUGCAUGGUGAGUUAAGUUAUAUCUUGCAAUUUCUUAGUGGGUUCACUAAUUAUUACUUGUUGUUAAAUAACCUAAGCAAUUACAGACUUCAAGCAUUCAAAUUAAUAAUAUAUUAUUUUGAAAUUAUAAACAAUGGAUCCUAUUAAUCAAACGACAAAGCAAUAAUAAUAUGAAGAAUUGAAUUUGUUCAUGUAUAAACUGAAAUUUCACCCUAACUUUAAUUAGAAAUAAAGAGUUUAGCCACUCCUAGUUUUAAAAGAAAAUACAAAAGAGAAGAUAGAAGUGAAGAUGAAGGUUGAUGCUGUAAAGAAGAUGUUUCGGUUAGGGGUGUAAACGAACCGAGUCGAGCCGAGCUUUGAAGAGCUCAAGCUUGGUUCGUUAAAAUUUUUUCGAGCUCGAGUCGAAUUCGAGCUUUACUCAUUUCGAACUCGAGCCGAGUAUUAAGAAGCUCAAACUUGGCUUGUUUAGCAAACGAGCUUAGACGAGUCGAGUUUUUAUCGAGCUGAGUCGAGCUUUUAUCGAGCUUAAUCUCGAAUAGUUCACGAGUAGUUUAAUUUAUUUACAUGUAUAAUGAGUUUUAGUUUAAAACUAAUAAGUUUAAAACUAAAAUAAUUUUAGUUAAAUAAGUAUAUCUACAAAUUAGCACGUAAACUUAUAAAGAUAAGCUUUUAAAUCUUAAUGAUCCAAAUAUAUGCAAGUUUAAGAGUGUAACUAAACUAUAUAGAGCUGAAUUUUAGGAAAUUUAGAUUUGGCUCAUGAAAGUAUAUGCAGGGUUUGAGUUUAUUUCUCUUAUGAUAGUAAUUUCAGUUUACUUAACGAGACUGUUCACGAGCCUAUUCGUGAGCCUGCUCAUGAACUCAGAAAUGAGCCAAGCUCAUGAGCCUUAACGAGCCGAAUACUAUGGAGCUCAAGCUUGGCUCGUUUACCAAACGAGCCUAAAAAUUAAGCUCGAGUUUGGCUCGUUUAGAAAUCGAGUCGAGCUCGGUCGAGUUUUUAUCGAAUCGAAUCUCGAAUAGCUCACGAACGAUUUGGUUCAUUUACACCCCUAGUUUCGGUUGUCCUCAAUGAUGAGCUUAUAUAGGUGCUUAACCCUAAUAAAAUCCUUUUGGAAAUAUAAAUUCUUCUUUACUUUAAAUUAGAAAUCAUUUCUUUAAUAUGUUUUUUUAUGGAUAGAACUCUUUGAUUUAAAAAGGAUAUGAUGCCGCACUUAAAGAGGAGAAAUUGCGAAAUCUAACUUUUAAUGAGGAGAGAUGAUAUUUUAAUUUUCAAAUCUGAAUUUUUUUCGCUCACUGUCAAGUUCUAUGCAGACCGUUGAUUUGUCCAGUUAUUUGGACAAAUCGUAGGUCAAAUCGAGAAUGGUUAACUCAGCUUGCGGGUCUGGCUCAUUCAUUGCUUCUGUGUAGAAUGAUCAUCCGAUAGAUUUUCCUAAAUCGCUAAUCAAGAUAAUUUCAGCGCUUUUAAACCGCUUAUCAAAAAUUUUCUGUGAUGCUAAAAAAAUAUGAAAAAUAUGUUAAAAUUACAUUUGAUCGAUAGUGAUAAAUUUUAUUAUACAGUAAUAAUUAUAAAUAUUUUAUAGUAAAUAUAUUAUUUAAUAUAAAAUAACAGUAUAUACAAAAUAAUUAAAAAUAAUAUAUCUAUUAUAAAAUUUAUCCACAACAAAAUUUAUCUACGAUUGAAACUGUCGAUUGUAUAUAUUGUUGCAAUAUGUCGAUUGUAUAUUGUAAUGGGAGUCAUCGAUUAAAAAAUUUAGAUAUUCAAUUUCAAUCACAGACACGAACCAGCCAAAUAAUGUACACAAAAUGUCUGUCUACUUUCCAUUUUUAACCACAAAAUUGUUGGAAAGCCUUCACACUUAGAAGUCAAAUUCUCAAUCUUUCUUUGUUAGACAUUUAUGAAAAUUUCAAACAGGAUUUGUUAGGAGCACAGCGUACUGACGAUUAUCAUUCACCCAUAAUGCUUCCUUUCCAGAGACUUUGGGUUACAACAUUAAAAGAUAUUCUUGUGAGAAGAUUAUUUACACCGUAUGAUGAUUUACCUAGAGGGAGAAGCAUUACAGUCAUUCCAUCUCAUAUAGUAUCAGUAAAAGCAGUUCCAAAAUUGACAUCCAUUCACUGUAGAUGCUUGCCCCUCCGUGGGAUCCGACUACCUACCAGUAUCAGAGUUACUUCAUCUAAACAAUCAUACCUUCUGCCUGUUAGUAGUAGUAGUUCGGUUUACAUGCGGUGGUUCCAAGUAAUUGUCUGGUUCAUCUUCAUCAUCAGAAGAUAGAAGGGAUGAUCCCAUCCAUGCCUUAAAGCCUUCACUGACGCGCCUUUCAACCUCUGGUGUGACUUCCAAAGUGUUUGCUUCCAACAUUUCCAGACCAAGAUUUUGACCGCUAAAAUCACUUUCAUCAAGAAUUACAGAUGCUUUCCUUCUCAAACAGAAGGCAGUUCCGGCGUAUAAAAUGACCAGCCCCCAUGUCGCAAUCUCAUAGCACCAGAAUAAAGGUAAGGAACAACUACUCCCUAGUGUCAGGAGGCUUGCACCAAGAAACAGAGCAAGAAGACCAAAGACGACAGCGAAGACAAUAUUCAAAAUUGACAGACAACGUGCUCCGCCUAUAUAAUCACAAAAACAAAGAAGAUAUUUAGAUGAGGAUGACUUAACUAGCUUAGCAACCGUUUAGCAUACAAUAGAGCACCAUCACGAUUGCAAUGCAAAGCAAGAUAAUUUUUUUAAAAAAAAAAAAGAGUCUAAUUCCUAAGUUUCCAGUAAAAACAAAGAAUUAAUGCACAACAAAAAGACGGGAUAUAAGGCCAUGCACCAGGAUUAGCUAACAAGCAAGUUGCAGAGCUAAUAUUGCAUGAUCAAAAGAUAUUGAAGCAGACUAAAUGCGAAAAUGUGUAAUAUAUUCGAACUAAUUUCAUUUUCUUUUUGUGUAGAAGAAAAUUUUAAACACCACGCUACAUUGCCAUUCAAACCAUUUCAUUAGAUCUGAUCAAUACAUACAAUGGUAACAAAAUAAAUUUUACUUUAAAAUCACUCAUCUAACUUCAUUAUCUAUUUAUUUAUUUAAGAAAAAAAAACUCCAUUAUCUACUUAUCCUUCUUCUAUCAUAUUAUUCACUUUCCUAUCAAGAAUCCAAAGUUGAUAUACGUAAGAGUUUGCUAAAGACAACCUCCACUUUAUCACCUCAGCAGUCAGCAGCAAUCUAUCAACUAAUAGUUCUCAACUCUUUCUCUAACUUCACCAAGAUUUCUGAUUGCAUUGAUCAGUUUAAAUGCUAUUUAGUUGUGUUUGGUUUAUAUUAGAUAUUUACACGGUUAAGCUUCAGGGAAGUGAAAUUGCCUACAUCUCCUCACCAGGUACCACAUAAAUUUGGCAAAAAUGAAUACAUCUCCUCAUCAGGUACCGCAUAAAUUUGGCAAAAAUGAAAAGGAAAGGAANNNNNNNNNNNNNNNNNNAAAAAAAAAAAAGAAGAAAUUCUUGUGAAAACGAUUUUGUUAUAAAAGGUUUUUAUUACAUGACAGUCUUGCAACUCCCGUUGAAACAGAGAAAUAGGGAGAGAAAGAGAGAGUAGAAUGGGCUGAGAAAAGAAAUAGAAAGGGGAGAAGUAAUAGAGAGAAUUAGAGAAGGGAAAGAGAAGAAGAGAAAGAGUUUACCUUUGAUUGCUAAUGGUCGUGGAUAUCUUUAUUUUUACAAGUAAGUUCCUAUGUAUACUACUUUGGGUGCCACAAUUACUUUCUACAGUUACUUUAUUUUUACAAUAAGUUCCUAUGUAUACUACUUUGGGUGCCACAAUUACUUUCUAUAGUUACAAUCGAAUGCAAAGACUAAUCCAAUACUUCUUUAUUCCUUACUCAUAACAUCCUCGACCCCUUGAAACAAGAAUGAAGAAAAUGCAGAAAAUUGAAAUGAAUUUCUAUUCCUUCUUUCCCCAGACUCGGAAGGAUGUAAAAAUCCCACAUUGCAGCUUUUGCUAGUCAGUUAAUCCCCUGAAUUUAGAACCCCAAAUGUUAACUUCCAGCAUGUGCUUCAACUGAAAUGUUCCAGAAAGUUGGGCUAAAGUUGGCAAUGAUUUUAUGGACUCUUUGUUGAUGAGGAAUUUUUUUUUUCCUUUUUCUUCUUCAGCUGAAAUGACCCAUAAAGCUUAGCUGAAGAUGCUAGACUUUCUUCCUAUUCCUUCUCCAAAUUUCCCAUGCUUGUUCCUUCAAGAUCACAAUAGAAUUUGAUGUCAUAUCCUUCUUCCUUUCUCUUCUUGCUAUUUCCCAUUUAUCUUCCAUAAGAAUUCCAGGAUGACAACUGUUGUACUCACUGUCUUGGCUCCAAAAAUAUUGCCACAUAUUUCCAACACCCACACCUCUUGUAACACCUUUAUCUUUCUUUUCUCCAAGAGCAUUUCCAAGAAUUUCAAUAGCAAAAAACUCAGUUUUGGACUAAAUUGUGCAAACAUUUCAGAUUCCACUAAUAUUGUCCUUAUUUCAAACUCUAGUUGCCCCAUCAUCACCAUCUUCAUCGUUCUUCUCCUCAUUGAUCUCACUUACAUUAGACAUGUCAACAAAAAGCUCCUGCUCCACCUCAAUGGUUUUGUCUUUCUUAGAAGUUUCACAUGAGACAUCUUGUUCUUCACUAAGCUUUUCAAAAAUUUGAUUUUCAUUGAUCAAGACUGCAAUCUUUUCCUUUCUCACUUGAAUUGCUUGCUCAAACCUUCCAUUUUCUGAUCUAAAUUUUCUACUUUUUGAAUCACUUUUUUGAAUUUUUGUUCCAACUACUCCUGUUCUUUUAAUCUUCUAUCUAGAAUUACUUGACCUUCAUUAAGAAAAAUUUGUGCCAAAUAUUGC
rnacentral:lncRNA from 1 species